GACGAACGCUGGCGGCGUGCUUAACACAUGCAAGUCGAACGGAAAGGCCCUGCUUUUGUGGGGUGCUCGAGUGGCGAACGGGUGAGUAACACGUGAGUAACCUGCCCUUGACUUUGGGAUAACUUCAGGAAACUGGGGCUAAUACCGGAUAGGAGCUCCUGCUGCAUGGUGGGGGUUGGAAAGUUUCGGCGGUUGGGGAUGGACUCGCGGCUUAUCAGCUUGUUGGUGGGGUAGUGGCUUACCAAGGCUUUGACGGGUAGCCGGCCUGAGAGGGUGACCGGCGACAUUGGGACUGAGAUACGGCCCAGACUCCUCCGGGAGGCAGCAGUGGGGAAUAUUGCACAAUGGGGGGAAGCCUGAUGCAGCAACGCCGCGUGCGGGAUGACGGCGUUCGGGUUGUAAACCGCUUUCGCCUGUGACGAAGCGUGAGUGACGGUAAUGGGUAAAGAAGCACCGGCUAACUACGUG
rnacentral:rRNA from 1 species